AAAGUUCCCUUCGGGGAACAAGUAGAGUGGCGCACGGGUGAGUAACACGUAGGUAAUCUACCUUUGGAUUGGGAAUAACACCGAGAAAUCGGUGCUAAUACCGAAUAAUGCAGCGGCACCUAAUGGUGACAGUUGUUAAAGCGGGGGAUCGCAAGACCUCGCGUCUAAAGAGGAGCCUGCGGCGGAUUAGCUAGUUGGUAAGGUAACGGCUUACCAAGGCGAUGAUCCGUAGCCGGCCUGAGAGGGCGGUCGGCCACACUGACACUGACAUACGGGUCAGACUCCUACGGGAGGCAGCAGUCGGGAAUUUUGGGCAAUGGGCGAAAGCCUGACCCAGCAACGCCGCGUGAAGGAUGAAAUCCCUCGGGAUGUAAACUUCGCAAGAACGGGAAGAAUAAGUCGGUGCUAACACCAUCGGCGAUGACGGUACUGUUUGUAAGCUCCGGCUAACUCCGUGCCAGCAGCCGCGGUAAUACGGGGGGAGCAAGCGUUGUUCGGAUUUACUGGGCGUAAAGGGCGCGUAGGCGGCCACCGCAAGUCGACUGUGAAAUCUCCGGGCUUAACUCGGAAAGGUCAGCCGAUACUGCGGGGCUAGAGUGCAGAAGGGGCAACUGGAAUUCUCGGUGUAGCGGUGAAAUGCGUAGAUAUCGAGAGGAACACCUGCGGCGAAGGCGGGUUGCUGGGCUGACACUGACGCUGAUGUGCGAAAGCUAGGGGAGCGAACGGGAUUAGAUACCCCGGUAGUCCUAGCCUUAAACGAUGAAUGCUUGGUGUCUGGGGUUUUAUAGUCCCCGGGUGCCGUCGCUAACGCUUUAAGCA
rnacentral:rRNA from 1 species